rnacentral:lncRNA from 1 species
CGGUAAGAGGGAGGCGCCGCGCGGGCUACAAUCCUCCCCCUGCGGUUUUCUGGAGGGUCUAGGAGCUGAGUGUCGUGGCAACGCUAACGCUUUGGUCGUUUCGCCGGACUAUCCCGGGCCCCUGCAGUGGUGAUCAGGCUUGUGCGGGAUCCCUUUUCUUUAUAAGGCUACUUCUCCCCUGGACCAGCCCAGGAAGGGACAGGUGGUGGAGGUCAGUUGUUUUAAGGUGGUUGCAAGACGUCUUGUGGUGUCGAGCUCUCUUAGCCUUUCUCUAUUGGAGGUUUUUUGUUGGCCUGUUAGGUAUAUCAGGAGCCCUCACCUGCCGGGAC